rnacentral:rRNA from 1 species
AGCACACUUUAAAUCGUUUAACGAGUAUCCAUUGGAGGGCAAGUCUGGUGCCAGCAGCCGCGGUAAUUCCAGCUCCAAUAGCGUAUAUUAAAGUUGUUGCGGUUAAAAAGCUCGUAGUUGUAUUUGUGUCCCACGCUGUCGGUUCACCGCCCGUCGGUGCCUAACUGGCAUGGUCCGUGGGACGUCCUGCCGGUGGUGGCGAGCCGAAAGCGCUCUCCCGCCGCGGCCCUUUGUUGCCGCGUGCGGUUCUUGUGGCGUCUGGAGGCGGACCCCGAUGAAAUCCCGCCGCGGUGCUCUUCACCGAGUGUCGAGGUGGGCCGGCACGUUUACUUUGAACAAAUUAGAGUGCUUAAAGCAGGCCUGUUGCGCCUGAAUGCUUCGUGCAUGGAAUAAUGGAAUAGGACCUCGGUUCUAUUUUGUUGGUUUUCGGAAGCCGAGGUAAUGAUUAAUAGGGACAGGCGGGGGCAUUCGUAUUGCGACGUUAGAGGUGAAAUUCUUGGAUCGUCGCAAGACGGACAGAAGCGAAAGCAUUUGCCAAGUAUGUUUUCAUUAAUCAAGAACGAAAGUUAGAGGUUCGAAGGCGAUCAGAUACCGCCCUAGUUCUAACCAUAAACGAUGCCAGCUAGCGAUCCGCCGAAGUUCCUCCGAUGACUCGGCGGGCAGCUUCCGGGAAACCGAAGCUUUUGGGUUCCGGGGGAAGUAUGGUUGCAAAGCUGAAACUUAAAGGAAUUGACGGAAGGGCACCACCAGGAGUGGAGCCUGCGGCUUAAUUUGACUCAACACGGGAAACCUCACCAGGCCCGGACACUGGAAGGA